GGCAAAGCUCUUAUUUGAAAUCUGGCACCUUCGGCCUUCGAGUUGUAAUUUGAAGAAGGUAACUUUGGAGUUGGCUCUUGUCUAUGUUCCUUGGAACAGGACGUCACAGAGGGUGAGAAUCCCGUGCGAUGAGAUGCCCAAUUCUAUGUAAAGUGCUUUCGAAGAGUCGAGUUGUUUGGGAAUGCAGCUCUAAGUGGGUGGUAAAUUCCAUCUAAAGCUAAAUAUUGGCGAGAGACCGAUAGCGAACAAGUACAGUGAUGGAAAGAUGAAAAGAACUUUGAAAAGAGAGUGAAAAAGUACGUGAAAUUGUUGAAAGGGAAGGGCUUGAGAUCAGACUUGGUAUUUUGCGAUCCUUUCCUUCUUGGUUGGGUUCCUCGCAGCUUACUGGGCCAGCAUCGGUUUGGAUGGUAGGAUAAUGACUAAGGAAUGUGGCUCUACUUCGGUGGAGUGUUAUAGCCUUGGUUGAUACUGCCUGUCUAGACCGAGGACUGCGUCUUUUGACUAGGAUGUUGGCAUAAUGAUCUUAAGCCACCCGUCUUGAAACACGGAC
rnacentral:rRNA from 1 species